UUUUUUUCGAAAUGGGGGCAAUGCCCCGGCCUCUGCAUCGAGUGAUGCAUACAGUCAUUUUAUUGCAAAACGAAAUAGUCUGGAGCAGUAAAAAAAGCGAGAUAAUUCAAGACACAAAAAAGAGUUACAUGGCGCUCAGACCGCCGAAAAACCGACUAUAUCCCACGGAUAGGCUAGACUAAAGUCCAAUCCUAUUAGCAUGCCGCCAUCCAUAUCGGUUGAAGAUAACCUGAGCUGUCAUCUCCCAUCGGACAUACCUAGUAACCAAAGGCUUCCUGGUUUCCACAGGAGUGAGUAAGGACCACGUGCGGAU
rnacentral:lncRNA from 1 species